GGCUGGCCUGAGUGCAGUGGCAUUUACAACUUACAGAUUUCUUUGUUACUUCUCCAUUCCCACUGCUUCAUUUGACUAGCCUUAA
rnacentral:Y_RNA from 1 species